rnacentral:lncRNA from 1 species
UUUAUUGAUACAUAGCAAUGGCAUGUAUUUAUGGGGUACAUGUGAUAUUUUGAUACAUUUAUACAAUGCAUAAUGAUCAAAUUAGGGUAAUUGAGGUAUCUAUCACCUCAAAUAUUUAUUUCUUUGUGUUGAGAAUAUUUCAAAUCUUUUCUUCUAGGUAUUUUUAAAAAUACAAUAAAUUACUGAUAACUAUAGUCACCUUACUGUGCUAUCAAACACUCCAGCUUAUUCCUUCUAUGUAACUGUAUUUUUGUACCCACUAAACAACCUCUCUUCAUUCUCGCCCCCCAUUUUUCCCAACCUCUAAUAACCACAAUUCUACUCUCUACCUCUAUGAGAUCUGUUUUGGCUCCCACAUAUGAGUGAGAAUGUGUGAUAAGGAAUGGCUCAUCUUAAGUAAUUGGAUGUAUGGUGGUGGUUUAGGUAAGGGGUAAGGGAGAAGUUAGCACAAUCUUAGGAGAAUAAUAUGAGAUGUUGACUAAUAUUAACCAAACAUUAGCUGGAGAUU